UGGGGAAUAUUGCGCAAUGGGGGCAACCCUGACGCAGCAACGCCGCGUGCGGGACGACGGCCUUCGGGUUGUAAACCGCUUUCAGCAGGGAAGAUAGUGACGGUACCUGCACAAGAAGCCCCGGCUAACUACGUGCCAGCAGCCGCGGUAAUACGUAGGGGGCGAGCGUUAUCCGGAUUCAUUGGGCGUAAAGCGCGCGCAGGCGGCUCUUCGAGCGGAACCUCUAACCCCGGGGCUCAACCUCGGGCCGGGUUCCGAACUGGAGGGCUCGAGUGCGGUAGAGGCAGGCGGAAUUCCCGGUGUAGCGGUGGAAUGCGCAGAUAUCGGGAAGAACACCGAUGGCGAAGGCAGCCUGCUGGGCCGGCACUGACGCUGAGGCGCGAAAGCUAGGGGAGCGAACAGG
rnacentral:rRNA from 1 species